ensembl:lncRNA RPL23AP7 ribosomal protein L23a pseudogene 7
UGUGGGUGUGGUACCGAGGCUUCAGCGGGUGCCGCCCGCCUAGAGGGAGUGGAGCGGUGAGCACGUCAGGGGUGGGGGGCGCAGGUCAAGCUUUCACCAGUUUUUAAUUCUUUGAUGGGGUAAAUUUGAGCAAUUUUCUCGACUUGUCGACAUUCGUUAUUAACUGAGCAGGAAUCAGGAGAGGAACCCGGUCCUCUCCACACAGCCCAGCAGGUACGCCGCCCAUGUGCCUGUGGAGAAGAGAGGUUCCUGUGGGGCAGACAGGUGUGGACCAAGUAGCUGCGAAAUUUCUUCUGAAGAAAACACACAAGGGGGAAGCGAGUGAGCUCAGUGGAGGAGGGGCGCUACCCCAGGGGACGUCCCCAUGCAUGGGCUUGUGAACCUCGAAUAUGUGAGACGGUCUCAGUCAAUUUAGAAAGUUUAUUUUGCCAAGGUUGAGGACGCACGCCCGUGACACAGCCUCAGGAGGUCUUGACAUGUGCCAAAGGUGGCCGGGACACAGCUUGCUUUUAUACAUGUUAGGGAGACAGGAGACAUCAAUAUAUGUAAGAUGAACGUUGGUUCCCUCGGGAAAGGCGGGACAACUCGAAGCAGGGAGGGGGCUUCCAGGUCACAGGUAGGUGAGAGACAAACUGUUGUAUUCUUUCGGGUUUCUGAAUAGCCUCCGCAAAGGAGGCUAUCACAUAUUAACCUAUCUCAGUGAGCAGAGGGGUGACUUUGAAUAGAUGGGGAGGCAGGUUUGCCCUAAGCAGUUCCCAGCUUUUUUCCCUUUAGCUUAGUGAUUUUGGGGCCCCCAGAUUCAUUUUCCUUUCACAGGCUAGACAGCUUUAGGAACUGAAAGGUUCACGAGGCUGUAACGAAGAGUCGAGUUGCUCCAGGUGAGCCUGGGCCACAACAGCACGCAGGACCUGGGCGCCCACGAGGGGCUCCUGGGAGGGUUUGGGAAAGGGAUGUGUGAACCCUAUCUGAGAUGGUUUCAGGUAAUUUAGAAAGAGGUGCACCCGUGACACAGCCUCAGGAGGUCUUGACGACAUGUGCCCAAGGUGGUCAGGGCACAGCUUGGUUUUAGGGAGACAUGAGACAUCAAUCAAUAUAUGUAAGAAGUACGUUGCUUCCAUCCAGAAAGCUGGGGACAACUGGAAGCAGGGAGGGGGCUUCCAAGGUCACAGGUAGGUGAGAGACAAAGGUUGCAUUGUUUUGAGUUUCUGAUUAGCCUCUCCAAAGCAGGGAAUCAGAUAUGCACCUAUCUUAGUGAGGAGAUAGGUGACUUGGAAUAGAAAGGGAGGCAGGUUUGCCCUGAGCAGUUCCCAGCUUGACUUUUCCUUUAGCUUAGUAAUUUUGGGUCCCCAAAAUUUUCCUUUCAGAGAGCCUACGACUAGAUUUGCAUCUUUACGUCCUGCGCGGAGGCUGCUACACACAUGCAGAAGUCAUGCUGGUGGCCUGGACAGUGAAGGGAGAGAAGUGGAUUUGGGAGACAUUUAGGAGAUGGCACCAAAAGCGAAGGAAGCUCCUGCUCAUCCUAAAGCCGAAGCCAAAGCGAAGGCUUUAAAGGCCAAGAAGGCAGUGUUGAAAGGUGUCCGCAGCCACACGCAAAAAAGAAGAUCCGCAUGUCACUCACCUUCAGGCGGCCCAAGACACUGCGACUCCGGAGGCAGCCCAGAUAUCCUCGGAAGAGCACCCCCAGGAGAAACAAGCUUGGCCACUAUGCUAUCAUCAAGUUUCCGCUGGCCACUGAGUCGGCCGUGAAGAAGAUAGAAGAAAACAACACGCUUGUGUUCACUGUGGAUGUUAAAGCCAACAAGCACCAGAUCAGACAGGCUGUGAAGAAGCUCUAUGACAGUGAUGUGGCCAAGGUCACCACCCUGAUUUGUCCUGAUAAGGAGAACAAGGCAUAUGUUCGACUUGCUCCUGAUUAUGAUGCUUUCGAUGUUGUAACAAAAUUGGGAUCACCUAAACUGAGUCCAGCUGGCUAACUCUAAAUAUAUGUGUAUCUUUUCAGCAUAAAAAAA